UUUGUUAGUGGCACAUUAUUCUAGUCACUUCUAAUUGUUAUGGAGACGGGGCUAAAAAUCCGUUGAAGAGCAUAUAUUUCACCUUUUGGUUUUUGCUUCUUACGCCCAGUUUGGGGUGAUAGCUGAAAGGAAUGAAUUAUUGGGCUCUCAUAAUGGCAUAUGAGCAAGUUCCAAUAAUUUGAACGUCUAUUUUAUAGACAAAACCUACUAGGUGGCGAAUAGUUGCGAGUAGUGUAGCUUGUCUUGAGUGAAUGUUGGGGAUAAUUAGCAACAUUUUAAAUAUAUGCGGCCACAUAUAUUUAAUCUACAAAUUUGAAACAGCCUUUGCAAAAAAGAAUAAGUAACAAUUAAGUGUUUGAGGAAAACUCCUAGGAAUGUGUAUAGGUAAGGAUUGCAGUGCGAACUAAGUGGUAAUCAAGUCAUAUAGAUGGAAACACUAUAUUAAGUUUUUUAAAGGGGAACCGCUUUUGGGUAACUGAAAGUAAAACUUAGAGAAAUUCUACUUGACCUAUGUCGCAAAGUUUACUUCUUAUACGCCAUUAUUUAUUAA
rnacentral:sRNA from 1 species